GGUCUGCGUCCUGGACGAAGGGGAGGCUUUGUGAGCACUGUGUAGUGUCAGCAGAGAAAGGGCCCUGCUCUGGGCUCUCACUGUGGAAGCAGAGCUGGAUGCCCUCAGGAUUGGGUUAUGUUUGAAUCAAGCCAUUUCGCAGCCUUGCUAUUGGCCUAUAAUUUUCUGCUGCCAUGGAACAAGCCCAUGCCUUGCUGGCUAGCCAGUACCUGGUGUCAGAAUCUUCCAUUCACCAUUCAAUGUAGUCAUCGUCAUACCACUUCAUUCUCUGGCAAGGCAGGCAGCUGUGGGAGCCUCAGCACAUUCCUAGAGGAAACAAAAAUAUUUCCUCAAAGAUUGGGAAACCAACUCUGAAGUGUAACCAUGAGGAAGGACUGCUCCUCUAUCUCCCAUGGUAUGGGAGGGUAGGAGCCUAACCUCAGCUAGAGCUCAUUCUCAAGUUGCAGCCCUACCUUCUGUCAUGAAGAUAUGAGAAAUUUGUUUUUCCUUUGGCUACAAGCAAUGAGCAAACAUAGGUGUCAACCCCCACCUCCAGAGAAAGUUCCCACUAAAGAAAUUUAUUUACUUGCUUAACUAAAACAUCAGAGCACGUUGCCUCAUUCUCAUUACUACUGAGGAAACACUGGAGGUUCUGUGUUGAUGAUACCAAGACCCUGGUUUCAUGAGGAAAGAGAUGAAAGGCAAGCUUGUGUAAAGAUAUCAACCUCCCCUUCACUCAGGGGUCCUGGAUGAGUCCCAGAAGUCAUAGACCUCAAGAAGGGAUGAAGAAAUACCCAUACCUGUCAGAUGAGGACCAGGGAGCAAUCAUGGAUAUAGACCCCAGACCAAUCCUGGGAAGCACCUUUGGAGCAGAUGACACCAGGAACGUGGCCCAGGAACAUUGUUUCCCAGAGCUCCAAAGUUAUGGUGCUCACAGCUGAGUUUGCCUUAAAUCUCAGAAGAAACUUU